rnacentral:rRNA from 1 species
AUUGAACGCUGGCGGCAUGCCUUACACAUGCAAGUCGAACGGCAGCGGACCUUCGGGUGCCGGCGAGUGGCGAACGGGUGAGUAAUAUAUCGGAACGUACCUUUCAGUGGGGGAUAACGUAGCGAAAGUUACGCUAAUACCGCAUAUUCUGUGAGCAGGAAAGCAGGGGAUCGCAAGACCUUGCGCUGAUUGAGCGGCCGAUAUCAGAUUAGCUAGUUGGUGAGGUAAAGGCUCACCAAGGCGACGAUCUGUAGCGGGUCUGAGAGGAUGAUCCGCCACACUGGAACUGAGACACGGCCCAGACUCCUACGGGAGGCAGCAGUGGGGAAUAUUGGACAAUGGGCGCAAGCCUGAUCCAGCAAUGCCGCGUGUGUGAAGAAGGCCUGCGGGUUGUGAAGCACUUUCAGUGGGGAAGAACAGAUUCGGGUCAAUACCCCGGAGCCCUGACGUUACCCACAGAAGAAGCACCGGCUAACUCCGUCG